UGAGGAAUAUUGGUCAAUGGGCGAGAGCCUGAACCAGCCAAGUAGCGUGCAGGACGACGGCCCUAUGGGUUGUAAACUGCUUUUAUAAGGGAAUAAAGUGGGUCUCGUGAGACUUUUUGAAUGUACCUUAUGAAUAAGGACCGGCCAAUUCCGUUCCAGCAGCCGCGGUAAUACGGAAGGUCCGGGCGUUAUCCGGAUUUAUUGGGUUUAAAGGGAGCGCAGGCCGCCCCUUAAGCGUGUUGUGAAAUGCAGCGGCUCAACCGUGGCACUGCAGCGCGAACUGGGGGGCUUGAGUGCGCCGGAGGUAGGCGGAAUUCGUGGUGUAGCGGUGAAAUGCUUAGAUAUCACGAAGAACUCCGAUUGCGAAGGCAGCCUACCGUAGCGUUACUGACGCUGAGGCUCGAAGGUGCGGGUAUCGAACAGG
rnacentral:rRNA from 1 species